CGACUCGAGCGUCAGCGAGAGAGCGUUGCCGCAGGCAACGACCCGUAGGGCGAAGCGCGCAGCGCUGAGUAAUCCUUCCCCCACCACCA
rnacentral:sRNA from 1 species